ACGGCUCAGUAACACGUGGUCAAUCUACCCUAUGGACGGGGAUAACCUCGGGAAACUGAGAAUAAUACCCGAUAGAACAUUAUGCCUGGAAUGGUUUAUGUUUCAAAUGAUUUAUCGCUAUAGGAUGGGACUGCGGCCUAUCAGUUUGUUGGUGAGGUAAUGGCCCACCAAGACUAUUACAGGUACGGGCUCUGAGAGGAGUGGCCCGGAGAUGGGUACUGAGACACGGACCCAGGCCCUAUGGGGCGCAGCAGGCGAGAAAACUUUGCAAUGUGCGAAAGCACGACAAGGUUAAUCCGAGUGGUUUCUGCUAAAGAAACCUUUUGUCAGUCCUAGAAACACUGGUGAAUAAGGGGUGGGCAAGUUCUGGUGUCAGCCGCCGCGGUAGAACCAGCACCUCAAGUGGUCAGGAUGAUUAUUGGGCCUAAAGCAUCCGUAGCUCGUUUUGUAAGUUUUCGGUUAAAUCCAUGCGCUUAACGUAUGGGCUGCCGGGAAUACUGCAUGACUAGGAAGUGGGAGAGGUAGACGGUACUCGGUAGGAAGGGGUAAAAUCCUUUGAUCUAUUGAUGACCACCUGUGGCGAAGGCGGUCUACCAGAACACGUUCGACGGUGAGGGAUGAAAGCUGGGGGAGCGAACCGGAUUAGAUACCCGGGUAGUCCCAGCUGUAAACGAUGCAAACUAGGUGUUUGGACGGCCACGUGCCGUUCUAGUGCCGCAGGGAAGCUGUUAAGUUUGCCGCCUGGGGAGUACGAUCGCAAGAUUGAAACUUAAAGGUAAUUGGCGGGGGAG
rnacentral:rRNA from 1 species